UACGAAGGGGGCAAGCGUUGUUCGGAAUUACUGGGCGUAAAGCGCGCGUAGGCGGCUAUCCAAGUCAGUGGUGAAAGCCCGGAGCUCAACUCCGGAACUGCCAUUGAAACUGUUUAGCUUGAGGACGAGAGAGGUGAGUGGAAUUCCCGGUGUAGAGGUGAAAUUCGUAGAUAUUGGGAAGAACACCGAUGGCGAAGGCAGCUCACUGGCUCGUAACUGACGCUCAGGCGCGACAGCGUGGGGAUCAAACAGG
rnacentral:rRNA from 1 species